UAGGAUUCGUGAUUCGUUCACUGAAAUAAAUGCGUUCUUUUGAACGAAUCGUUCACUCACGAGCCCACAGUAAAGUAACGUUUCCGGCCAAGUCGACCCGUUGAAAAUGUAGACCUCCAUUUCCAACGAUAGAUAAUGUUUGGUUGUGAUGCUGUAUCCAGAAGAUGGACAGUGCCUGAAGGAGUCAAGAGGACCAAGACCGUCCGUCGCUGUCCUGCUGCAAGCAAAAAGUAUCAAAAUCAAAGCAGGCUCCUUCAACAACUCCCAGAGCUGGAAUUAUUGCUGCCCUUGUUUUCGUAGUCUCUGAAUAAAGAUUUGUACAAACUGCCAA